UACGAAGGGGGCUAGCGUUGCUCGGAAUCACUGGGCGUAAAGGGUGCGUAGGCGGGUCUUUAAGUCAGGGGUGAAAUCCUGGAGCUCAACUCCAGAACUGCCUUUGAUACUGAGGAUCUUGAGUUCGGGAGAGGUGAGUGGAACUGCGAGUGUAGAGGUGAAAAUUCGUAGAUAUUCGCAAGAACACCAGUGGCGAAGGCGGCUCACUGGCCCGAUACUGACGCUGAUGCACGAAAGCGUGGGGAGCAAACAGG
rnacentral:rRNA from 1 species